rnacentral:sRNA from 1 species
UACGUGUUUAAUCCUGGUGCAGGGGGCGAUCAUGGCCGCUCCGCGAGUAUUCCCACUUUCCUGUGCGGUGCAGCAGUAUGCCUGGGGGAAGAUUGGUUCCAACAGCGAAGUGGCGCGGCUGUUGGCCAGCAGUGAUCCACUGGCCCAGAUCGCAGAGGACAAGCCCUAUGCAGAGUUGUGGAUGGGGACUCACCCCCGAGGGGAUGCCAAGAUCCUUGACAACCGCAUCUCACAGAAGACCCUAAGCCAGUGGAUUGCUGAGAACCAGGACAGCUUGGGCUCAAAGGUCAAGGACACCUUUAAUGGCAACCUGCCCUUCCUCUUCAAAGUGCUCUCAGUUGAAACACCCCUGUCCAUCCAGGCACACCCUAACAAGGAACUGGCAGAGAAGCUGCACCUCCAGGCUCCGCAGCACUACCCCGAUGCCAACCACAAGCCAGAGAUGGCCAUUGCCCUCACCCCCUUCCAGGGCUUGUGUGGCUUCCGGCCAGUUGAGGAGAUUGUAACCUUUCUGAAGAGUAAGUUGGGCAGAAUGCUGAAGGCAUGCGUAUUGGGCCAGGGAUACCUGGGGAACCAAGAUGAUAGG